UACGUAGGUGGCAAUCGUUGUUCGGAAUUAUUGGGCGUAAAGGGCGCGUAGGCGGUUUGUUAAGUCGGUUGUGAAAGCCCGGGGCUCAACCCCGGAGAGUCGACCGAUACUGGCAAACUAGAGUACAGAAGAGGUAGCUGGAAUUCCUGGUGUAGCGGUGAAAUGCGUAGAUAUCAGGAGGAACACCUGAGGCGAAGGCGGGCUACUGGGCUGAUACUGACGCUGAUGCGCGAAAGCCAGGGGAGCAAACGGG
rnacentral:rRNA from 1 species